GGCGGAACUACAGCCCAAGGGGCCGGGGGCGUGGCGGGCACGUGGUGCGCGGCCCCGGCAAUAAAGAGCGCGCCUGGGCGGCGGGCGCGGAGCGCCGGAGACUGAGCAGCAGCGUGUGGGACUUUGUCAGCAGCUCAAUGGCCUCCCCGAAGAAGAAACUUCAAGGUCUCGUGGCCGCGACCAUCACGCCGAUGACUGAGCAUGGAGAGAUCAACUUUUCAGUCAUCGGUCAGUAUGUGGAUUAUCUCGUGGAAGUACAGGGAGUGAAGAAUAUCUUUGUGAAUGGCACGACGGGAGAAGGCCUGUCCCUGAGCAUCUCAGAGCGCUGCCAGGUCGCAGAGGAGUGGGUGACAAAAGGAAGGAACAAGUUGGAUCAAAUAGUAAUUCAUGUAGGAGCACUGAGCUUGAAGGAGUCUCAAGAACUGGCCCAACAUGCAGCAAAAAUAGGAGCCGAUGGCAUUGCUGUCAUUGCACCUUUCUUUCUCAAGCCCUGGAACAAAGAUAACCUGAUUAAUUUCCUGAAGGAGGUGGCUGCUGCUGCCCCUGCUUUGCCGUUUUACUACUAUCACAUUCCUGCCUUGACAGGGGUAAAGAUUCGUGCGGAAGAGUUGUUGGAUGGGAUUCAGGAUAAGAUUCCCACCUUCCAAGGGCUGAAGUUCAGUGACACGGAUCUCUUAGACUUCGGGCAGUGUGUUGAUCAGAAUCACCAGCGACAGUUUGCUUUCCUGUUUGGGGUAGAUGAGCAACUAUUGAGUGCUCUGGUGAUGGGAGCAACCGGAGCCGUGGGCAGUACGUAUAACUACCUGGGAAGAAAGACAAACCAGAUGUUGGAGGCUUUUGAACGAAAGGACUUCUCUUCAGCCCUGAAUCAUCAGGACGGGCCACCAUGAGGGCAAUCAGAAAUGACAGAGCAGAAGUCACAAAGCAUCCUGGAGGUCAGAGGGCGUGACCUGAGCUCCAACCCAGAGAGGACAGGAGGAAGCAGUUGCCAGUUUUGCAUUCAAAGAUUUAUCAACUUUGUGGUCAAACUAGGUUUUGGAGUGUCACAGACCAAAGCCAUAAUGACUCUUGUCUCUGGGAUUCCAAUGGGCCCACCCCGGCUUCCACUACAGAAAGCCUCCAGGGAGUUUACUGAUAAUGCAAAAGCUAAACUGAAGAGCCUGGAUGUCCUUUCUUUCACUGAUUUAAAAGAUGGAAACUUGGAAGCUUGUUAGCUAGUGCCUCUCUAUCAAAUAAGGGUGCGUACAUUGAGAUGUAAUUCACCUUGAGUAGUGCAUUCCUUCUCAAGGACUUUUUAGAUGAGCUUGAACUAAAGUUUCCUAGCAAAUGAAAUCUUUAUGUCAAUCAACAAGUAUUUAAAUACCUACUACGAUCCUUUAAAAGUUUUCAUUUGUGAAGGGGCAAAAAUUCUAAAAGGGGUCAAGAGCCCUAAGUCAUUCAGUGUUUCACAAAAUUUUGUGAAGAAAUUUUUGCUUCUAUGGAUGAGAUAGAAUCAAGAGGAAGAUUGUAAUUGAUUAGCUCCAUCUGUCUUUGGGAGCUCCCAUUAUCUUGAUUUCUGGUCCUUAAUCCCAGUUCUUAAUUUGAAAGUUUUCUAAUUUUAAUCUGUUAGAAUGUACUUUCAUUUUAAUAAAUAUUCAUUUGGAAUCUAGGACAACUCUGAGCUGCUGCAUUUAGGCAAGCACACUAACUUUAAUGCCACAUUACAACAUGACAGCUAUGUACAACUGUUAACACACCAGUUCUUGGCUGCUCAAUCUAACUCUAGAGUAUUUGCUUUCAGAUUAAUUGCAGUGUCAAAAUUUUCCCCCAAAACAUUGGGUUAGGUGAAGCCUUGGUUCAGUUUCUCUAACCUGAGGGCCUAAUAGCAUAGGGUGGUUUUCAGAGAACAAAGGAAAGGCCUUCUCCCAAAAUGAUUCUAGUCUCUACUUGUUGCUAUAGAGAACUCAAAGUUGCAAAGAACCAAAGAGCUGGCACCACAAACUACCCCUUUCCUCACUGGGAAGAAAGCAUCCCCCCCAGUGCCCUGAAUUAUCAGAAGUAAAAGCCAGUGUCCCUUCUGCACGGAGCUCAGGGGGUAUUUCCCAGUCACAUAUUCAAGCAGUCACUUUUCAAUGAAAGAAGAUUUGAGGAGGACCCAAAGAUGUCACUUUAGCCUUCUCUACACACCUUCUUCCCUUUUCUUUUCCCCCCUCUGGAAUAUACCACUGGCUAUUCAGUCUCCUCUCUAACAAACCCUGGUGCAUGCUUUCUAGUGGCAAAAUAGUAUCUAGUGUAUUGAUGGUCACCCCUUCAUGAAUUUAAACUUGACUGUUCAGUCUAUUAACUACCUAAGAUUUUAUUUUGUUUCUUAUCUAAUAGUCUGCUCAUUGGUAGAGGAAAAGGAUUUGAAAUUCAUAUCAGUUUAAAAAUUUAAAAAAAAAAAACUUUUUCAAAAUGAGAAUUGGAAAAUAUCAGUGGAUUUGGUUGUCUCUGCUAACCCUCUUUUUAAUCCACCAGGUAGUUAACAGUUGUUAUAUCCAUAUCUCCUCACUACUCUAUUUGCUCAAGAAUGAUAUACACUGUUUUCUCAUAUUUCUCUCUCCUUUAGAAGAUAACUAAAUUAGAAAAUGAACCACAAUGGCUUAUGUGAGCUUAUAUUUUUUCUUGUUGAAACUUUAAUUUAUCUAGGGCUAUUAAUUUCCCAAAAGAAGAAAAGUGAGAUUUUUAUUAGUCUUUGUUUCUGAGGGUGUUAUAUCGCUACUUAAUGAAACUAAAGUCAAAUUAGUUUUUUUAAUGAAGAUUAAGUAUUGGCCAACUUCUAAGUAAAGAACUCUGUUUUUCUCAUUUUGCUCUUUUGAAAUCAGUGCUCGGAGAACUUUUAACUCGGUUAAUGAGAUCUCGUGAACACAAAAAGAAAUAUGAUGAUUAAACAAAAUGACCAGGGCUGAGUUUAGCUUGAUAUAUCUUAACAUUCAACUCCUCAGAAAUGAAUGAGUAUUAUAUAGCAAUAAGUUACUAAUAAUGCCUUAAAUCAAAAGUAAAAUUUUAGAGUAUUAUACAUUUGGUAUCUUUGAAUUGAAUUUUUAAUGUGAAAGUAAUGACAUGAAAUAUUUUAUUAAUCACAAUACUAAAAGCUGAUUUUUAGCAUCUCCUUCUAGAUAGAAAUCUGAGAUUAGCUCAUUGGAGGUGGUUGGAGGGACAAAGCUCAGGGACUGGUUUUACGUAGGAUCUCUUUGGGUGUAUUCACAGAUAGAGCAAAAUGCCACAGGAGUGAAAUGGGGGGAGUGGAGCAAUGCUUAUUCUUCCCCAGAAAGGCUGUCUGCUACAACCUGAGAGAAAUUUCCUCAUGAUGAUCUCCUGAAGGGCACAGAAAAUCCCUGCUCUCAGGAAUCUGAAGUCUAAGUGAAGCCUGGGCCGGACUGAGGAACUUUCACCUAGAGUGACUCUGCAACCCAAGGCCAGGGCUUGCCUGGGCUUUUCAUCUGGGGAGUAAUGGAGUAGGACCUACAAAACUCAUCAAAUCAAGAAGAGUUGGGUUCAAUAUAUUAGGAAAUAACAAACAGUAUAAAAUGGUUGUGUGUGAAGCAGGGUUGGCCUUGUGCUUCUGUGUAUGACCUCAGGCUUAUGGGUUCAAAGCCUAGCUCCACCACUUACUGUCUCCGUGGCUACAGCAUGUUAUUUAACUUCUCAACCAUUCAUUUAACUCAUUUAUAAUAUAAUAUCUACAUCCUGAGGUUAUUAUGAGGAUUAUGCAAAAUAAUACAUAUGAUGUUUUAGAAUAGUGGCUGGCACAUCUCAAGCACAAUGAAGUGUUAGUUAUUGUUAGUUAUAUAGCUAGCCCAAGCAUUCAGUGCAUGUUCUUUAUACAACAGAGAGAAACAUUAUUUUGCUGCUAAACCUUUAAACUCAAUAGCUGGAAAAAUAAAGUUGAAAGUGAUAUUAAAUCCGA